rnacentral:rRNA from 1 species
AUGGCGAGCGUGGGCGCGCUGCUGAUGGCCGCCGUGCUCCCGCCCGUGGCCGCGCUGCUCGUGGCGAUGGCCGUCCGGGCCGCGUCGCGCGGGCUGGGCGCGCUGGCGCGCGCGCACUACGCGUGGCCGGCGAGUUCGCCGUCCGUGCACGCGCGGAAGUGCGGCAGGAGGGCGGCGCCGGAGCAGCCGGACCACGAGCUGCGCGUGUCGCGGCACCGCGGGGGCGCGGCGGUGGAGUGCGCGGUCUGCCUGAGCGGCGUGGAGGAGGGCGACGAGGUGCGGGAGCUGCGGUGCCGGCACGUGUUCCACCGCGCCUGCCUCGACCGGUGGCUCGCGACGCCGCCGGCCACGUGCCCGCUCUGCCGCUCCCGCCUGCUGACGGCGCCGCCGGUAGAGGAGGAGGAGGAGGUGGAGGACCUGGACUCGGACCUGCUGCUGCUCAUGGCGUACGUGCACGGCGGCGGCCGCAGAUGGUUCUGGUCGCCGUGA